rnacentral:rRNA from 1 species
GGUUAAGCGACUAAGCGUACACGGUGGAUGCCUAGGCAAUCAGAGGCGAUGAAGGACGUGCUAAUCUGCGAUAAGCGUCGGUAAGGUGAUAUGAACCGUUACAACCGACGAUUUCCGAAUGGGGAAACCCAGUGCAAUUCGUUGCACUAUCGUUUGAUGAAUACAUAGUCAAACGAAGCGAACCGGGGGAACUGAAACAUCUCAGUACCCCGAGGAAAAGAAAUCAACCGAGAUUCCCCUAG